UAGGGAAUCUUCCGCAAUGGACGCAAGUCUGACGGAGCAACGCCGCGUGAGUGAAGAAGGAUUUCGGUUCGUAAAACUCUGUUGUUAGAGAAGAACAGCGCAUAGAGUAACUGUUAUGCGUGUGACGGUAUCUAACCAGAAAGCCACGGCUAACUACGUGCCAGCAGCCGCGGUAAUACGUAGGUGGCAAGCGUUGUCCGGAUUUAUUGGGCGUAAAGCGAGCGCAGGCGGUCAAUUAAGUCUGAUGUGAAAGCCCCCGGCUCAACCGGGGAGGGCCAUUGGAAACUGGUUGACUUGAGUGCAGAAGAGGAGAGUGGAAUUCCAUGUGUAGCGGUGAAAAGCGUAGAUAUAUGGAGGAACAACAGUGGCGAAGGCGACUCUCUGGUCUGAAACUGACGCUGAGGCUCAAAAGCGUGGGGAGCGAACAGG
rnacentral:rRNA from 1 species